GAUGAACGCUGGCGGCGUGCCUAAUACAUGCAAGUCGAGCGAACAGACGAGGAGCUUGCUCCUCUCACGUUAGCGGCGGACGGGUGAGUAACACGUGGAUAACCUACCUAUAAGACUGGGAUAACUUCGGGAAAGCGGAGCUAAUACCGGAUAAUAUCUUGAACCGCAUGGUUCAAUAGUGAAAGACGGUUUUGCGGUCACUUAUCGAUGCAUACGCGCCGCAUUAGCUAGUUGGUAAGGUAACGGCUUACCAAGGCAACGAUGCGUAGACGACCUGAGAGAGUGGUAGGCCACACUGGAGCGUGAACGCGGACAAGAGUCCUGAGAGAGGGCGCAGUAGGCUACGUGCGGCAGUGGGCGAAAGCCUGGCGGAGCAGCGCCACGUCAGAGGUAACGGUCUUCGGUGCGUAAAAACCGGUUAUGAGUGAAGAACCAAUGUGUAAGUAGAUAUGCACGUCUUGACGGUAACUAAUAAGAAAGCCACGGCUAACUACGUG
rnacentral:rRNA from 1 species